rnacentral:rRNA from 1 species
GACGAACGCUGGCGGCGUGCUUAACACAUGCAAGUCGAACGGAAAGGCCCUGCUUUUGUGGGGUGCUCGAUUGGCGAACGGGUGAGUAACACGUGAGUAACCUGCCCUUGACUUUGGGAUAACUUCAGGAAACUGGGGCUAAUACCGGAUAGGAGCUCCUGCUGCAUGGUGGGGGUUGGAAAGUUUCGGCGGGUGGGGAUGGACUCGCGGCUUAUCAGCUUGUUGGUGGGGUAGUGGCUUACCAAGGCUUUGGAGGGUAGCCGGCCUGAGAGGGUGGCCGGCGACAUUGGGACUGAGGGAGGGCCCAGACUCGUACGGGAGGCAGUAGUGGGGAAUAUGGCACAGUGGGAGGAAGUCUGUGGCAGCAACGUCGCGUGCGUGAUGACGGCCUGCGGGUUGUGAACCGCUUCCGGCUGUGACGAAGCGGGAGUGACGGUAAUGGGUGAAGAAGCACCGGCUAACUACGUG